UAACAACAUUCACGCACACCACACCCCUAACCCCCACUCCCUGCUUCUCUCUCGUGACCGAGCACCGGCGAUCGGAGGGCUCCGACCGGCCAUCGGUCUUCUUGCACCUCCGACAAACCCCCCAAACAAACACCUGCCACCCCCCUAGCUGCUAUACUCGCACAACACCCCCUGCUCACGAUUAACGACCAACCACCACCCUCGGGUGGUGGCUUAAGACGGCAAACGGUGGACAUCAGAGAACCAGAGAGAGGUGUGACGAAAAGGAGAGAAAUCGGGGAAGAAAGGGGACACAGCGGCAGCGGCGGCGGUGCCUCGAUGGUGUACGGACAACAUGUAAAGGUCAUCUUCAUCUCGUUUUCUUCUAGAUUCGACCCCAAAACCUCGAUUUUCGGCCGAUUUUCCGGCGAAAUGAUGAAGAUGAUGAUGAUACGAGAUGACGGUGAUGAUUAUGAUGUGUUGGGGUGGCCGACGGCAGCACCAUCGGAGCUACAACAGCGGUGGCGAUAGUGAAUAGGUCCUGCUUAGACUCGGUUUCGAUUCAAGUCGUGGACUCGGUUCUAGUGGUUAGUGUGGUUGCUUUACUUCGAGUUCGGGUCGGCGAAGGUGGUUCAACCUUCAGUUCGGUUUGGUUCAGGAUCGGUUAAAUUAAACACCAGUUUAGGUGACAGAAUCAGGUUCAAUGGAAGCGGAAGUGUUUGGUUCGAGUUACUUUGUAGCAGUUGGAUUCGGGUCUCGGUUCAGAGACUUUGGGUCACGGUUCACGCCAGUGGGUUCGGUUCGGUCAACAUAAGUCAGCAGCGGUUAGGUUCAUGGUUCGGGUUGACUCGGUCAAACCGAGUCAACUCGGGCAAACCUGGUCAACUCAGUUCAGUUUUGGUCAACGCCCGGUCAACUCAGGACCCGGAAUGUCAUAGGUGCACGCUAACUAAUUCACGUUUCUGGAACGACACUACGGAAUCACACUUUAAGCUAGCUUUGCACAGGAAUAUCCAGGUUGCAUUUUUAAAACUAAGGAACGGUUGGAAUAGAGGAACCCAUGGGAAUUCGAGUACUUAGCGGGCGUUCAUUGUUUAGAAGUCUUAGCUUUUUGCUUCCGCUGUGCAAUGAAGAUACCUGUCCAGUCACGCCAAGCUCUGAUAUUUCGGGGUGUGACAGAUUGAGCCUUCAAUUUGCAAGCUUAGUGAGUUUUUAGGGUUUGAGAGUGGGGAGUCGCCCCUGCUCUUCUUCUGUACGACCAACACCUUCAAAAUGGUGCUUUGGUUUUAAUUUUUAUUAAAACUAAUAUUAUAGUUUCAAUUCUUACAACUUAGGCCCUUCUAUUUUGUACAACUUAUAAUCUAGUUGCAUUUUAACC